UCAUGUAAUUUAAUUAUUAUUUUUUGGGUGUGAUUAAUUUGGAGUUUUUAGAAAAUUGAAUUUUUAGGUGAAAUUUAAAUUUAAUAUGGAAGUUAGGUGAGAUCAGUAAGUUAACUAAUUGACUGGGAUUAGAUACCCCAUUAAAAUAAUAUAAUUUUAAUCCCAUAUUAUUAAAAGUUAUGGUCUUUAAAAUAAAAGAAUUUGGCGGUAUUUUAAACUUUUCAGAGGAACCUGUUCUGUAAUUGAUAAUCCACGAUUAGAUUAACUUUUUUUAUAUUUAUAUAUCGUUGUGUAAAGCAUGUUCAAGUAUGAUGUUUAAGGUCUUUUUAAGAGGGUAUUUCAGAUCAAGGUGUAGUAUAAUAAAGAAGAAAUGGGUUACAUUGUUUUUAAAACGAUAAAAUUAAUUUUAAAUUAUUUUUAAACUUGGAUUUGAAAGUAAAUUGAAAUAAGUAUUUUACUUGAUUUAAGUUCUAAAAU
rnacentral:rRNA from 1 species